rnacentral:rRNA from 1 species
AUUGAACGCUGGCGGCAUGCCUUACACAUGCAAGUCGAACGGCAGCACGGACUUCGGUCUGGUGGCGAGUGGCGAACGGGUGAGUAAUGUAUCGGAACGUACCUUUCAGUGGGGGAUAACGUAGCGAAAGUUACGCUAAUACCGCAUAUUCUGUGAGCAGGAAAGCAGGGGAUCGAAAGACCUUGCGCUGAUUGAGCGGCCGAUAUCAGAUUAGCUAGUUGGUGGGGUAAAGGCCUACCAAGGCGACGAUCUGUAGCGGGUCUGAGAGGAUGAUCCGCCACACUGGAACUGAGACACGGUCCAGACUCCUACGGGAGGCAGCAGUGGGGAAUUUUGGACAAUGGGGGCAACCCUGAUCCAGCCAUGCCGCGUGAGUGAAGAAGGCCUUCGGGUUGUAAAGCUCUUUCGGCAGGGAAGAAAUCGCAUAGGCUAAUACCCUGUGUGGAUGACGGUACCGGAAUAAGAAGCACCGGCUAACUACGUG